CCUACGGGAGGCUGCAGUGAGGAAUAUUGGUCAAUGGACGAGAGUCUGAACCAGCCAAGUAGCGUGAAGUAUGACUGACCUAUGGGUUGUAAACUUCUUUUAUAAAGGAAUAAAACGAGGCACGUGUGCCUUUUUGCAUGUCCUUUAUGAAUAAGGAUCGGCUAACUCCGUGCCAGCAGCCGCGGUAAUACGGAGGAUCCGAGCGUUAUCCGGAUUUAUUGGGUUUAAAGGGAGCGUAGAUGGGUUGUUAAGUCAGUUGUGAAAGUUUGCGGCUCAACCGUAAAAUUGCAAUUGAUACUGGCAUUCUUGAGUACAGUUGAGGUAGGCGGAAUUCGUGGUGUAGCGGUGAAAUGCUGAGAUAUCACGAAGAACCCCGAUUGCGAAGGCAGCUUACUAAACUGUGACUGACAUUGAUGCUCGAAAGUGUGGGUAUCAAACAGGAUUAGAUACCCCUGUAGUC
rnacentral:rRNA from 1 species